AUUGAACGCUGGCGGCAGGCCUAACACAUGCAAGUCGAACGAGUGGCGGACGGGUGAGUAAUGUCUGGGAAAAUGCCUGAUGGCGGGGGAUAACUACUGGAAACGGUAGCUAAUACCGCAUACCAUCGGAUGUGCCCAGCUGGGAUUAGCUAGUAGUUGGGGUAAAGGCUCACCUAGGCGACGAUCCCUAGCUGGUCUGAGCGGAUGACCAGCCACACUGGAACUGAGACACGGUCCAGACGCCUACGGGAGGCAGCAGGGGGGAAUUUGGGACAAUGGGGGAAGCCCUGAUCCAGCCAGCCCGCGUGUAUGAUGAAGGCCGUCGGGUUGUAAAGUACUUUUUGCAGAGAAGCGGUAUCUGCAGAAUAAGCACCGGCUAACUACGUGCCAGCAGCCGCGGUAAUAC
rnacentral:rRNA from 1 species